rnacentral:rRNA from 1 species
UACGGAGGGAGCUAGCGUUAUUCGGAAUUACUGGGCGUAAAGCGCACGUAGGCGGCUUUGUAAGUUAGAGGUGAAAGCCUGGAGCUCAACUCCAGAAUUGCCUUUAAGACUGCAUCGCUUGAAUCCAGGAGAGGUGAGUGGAACUGCGAGUGUAGAGGUGAAAUUCGUAGAUAUUCGCAAGAACACCAGUGGCGAAGGCGGCUCACUGGCCCGAUACUGACGCUGAGGUGCGAAAGCGUGGGGAGCAAACAGG